rnacentral:rRNA from 2 species
GGAUAGAUGAUGCUAAGUGUUGGAGGGUUUCCGCCCUUCAGUGCUGCAGCUAACGCAUUAAGCAUUCCGCCUGGGGAGUACGGCCGCAAGGCUGAAACUCAAAGGAAUUGACGGGGGCCCGCACAAGCGGUGGAGCAUGUGGUUUAAUUCGAAGCUACGCGAAGAACCUUACCAGGUCUUGACAUACUAUGCAAAUCUAAGAGAUUAGACGUUCCCUUCGGGGACAUGGAUACAGGUGGUGCAUGGUUGUCGUCAGCUCGUGUCGUGAGAUGUUGGGUUAAGUCCCGCAACGAGCGCAACCCUUAUUAUCAGUUGCCAGCAUUAAGUUGGGCACUCUGGUGAGACUGCCGGUGACAAACCGGAGGAAGGUGGGGAUGACGUCAAAUCAUCAUGCCCCUUAUGACCUGGGCUACACACGUGCUACAAUGGAUGGUACAACGAGUUGCGAACUCGCGAGAGUAAGCUAAUCUCUUAAAGCCAUUCUCAGUUCGGAUUGUAGGCUGCAACUCGCCUACAUGAAGUCGGAAUCGCUAGUAAUCGCGGAUCAGCAUGCCGCGGUGAAUACGUUCCCGGGCCUUGUACACACCGCCCGUCACACCAUGAGAGUUUGUAACACCCAAAGUCGGUGGGGUAACCUUUUAGGAACCAGCCGCCUAAGGUGGGACAGAUGAUUAGGGUGAAGUCGUAACAAGUUAACCCGUAAGUGUAGAA